AGGUGGGUAUAGAGUAGUCCAUACACUCUUAGAGUAGGGAUAGUGAAGCAUAAGGUGGUCUAAUAUCUCAGAAGAGUUAUAGUAGAGGACACAUCUACUAGGGCUGCUCAGUCUUUUUUUUUGUAAGAUCUCGGUAGUGAGAAUUUUUGAUUGUUGGUUAACCAAUUAAAGAUUUUGCAUUUCUCUAGAAUCGAGAGCUUCCUGACAAUCUUUUCCAGAUGUGACUGUACCCCACUAUUUAUGAGGAAUUUGUAGCAUGCUGAAACCAAAUAUUUGUGGCUACUAAACCAUUUCUAGGAUCUCCUGUCAUCCUCACCAUCCAGCUGUAUUGAAUUCAGUAAGUGAGUAAGCAUGUGAAAUUCAUGAAGGGCCAAC
rnacentral:lncRNA from 1 species